rnacentral:tRNA from 2 species
GAAGUUUAGCUCAGCUGGUUAGAGCACCUGCCUUACAAGCAGGGGGUCAUAGGUUCGAAUCCUAUAACUUCC